GCAAGUCGAGCGAACUCUUCGGAGUUAGCGGCGGACGGGUUAGUAACGCGUGGGAACGUGCCCUUCUCUAAGGAAUAGCCACUGGAAACGGUGAGUAAUACCUUAUACGCCCUUCGGGGGAAAGAUUUAUCGGAGAAGGAUCGGCCCGCGUUAGAUUAGAUAGUUGGUGGGGUAAUGGCCUACCAAGUCUACGAUCUAUAGCUGGUUUUAGAGGAUGAUC
rnacentral:rRNA from 1 species